UACGAAGGGGGCUAGCGUUGUUCGGAAUUACUGGGCGUAAAGCGCGCGCAGGCGGUCUUCCAAGUCAGUGGUGAAAGCCCGGAGCUCAACUCCGGAACUGCCAUUGAAACUGUAAGACUUGAGGAUGAGAGAGGUGAGUGGAAUUCCCAGUGUAGAGGUAACAUUUAACGAUAUUGACGGGGACUCUCAAAAGCGAAAGCAGCAUCCAAAAACAUAACUGACACUGAAACGCGAAAGCAUGGGGAGCAAACCGG
rnacentral:rRNA from 1 species